rnacentral:rRNA from 1 species
UACGUAGGGUGCAGGCGUUAAUCGGAAUUACUGGGCGUAAAGCGUGCGCAGGCGGUUUGCUAAGACAGGUGUGAAAUCCCCGGGCUUAACCUGGGAACUGCGCUUGUAACUGGCAAGCUGGAGUGUGGCAGAGGGGGGUGGAAUUCCGACGUGUAGCAGUGAAAUGCGUAGAGAUGUGGAGGAACACCGGUGGCGAAAGCGACACACUGGACCUUGUCUGACGCUGAGGCACGAAAGCCAGGGGAGCAAACGGG